rnacentral:misc_RNA from 1 species
GAAUGAAGAACGUAGCGAAAUGCGAUAAGUAAUGUGAAUUGCAGAAUUCAGUGAAUCAUCGAAUCUUUGAACGCACAUUGCGCCCGCCAGUAUUCUGGCGGGCAUGCCUGUUCGAGCGUCAUUUCAACCAUCAAGCCCUGCUUGCGUUGGGGUCCUGCGGCUGCCCGCAGGCCCUGAAAACCAGUGGCGGGCUCGCUAGUCACACCGAGCGCAGUAAUACAUCUCGCUUUGGGCGUGCGGCGGGUUCUUGCCGUUAAACACCCCCUUUUUACCAAGGUUGACCUCGGAUCAGGUAGGAAUACCCGCUGAACUUAAGCAUAUCAAUAAGCGGAGGA